AGAUAAGAAGUGUAAAUUACGCACAAUUGAUUUUCAAUCAUUAAGAAUAUAUAAAAUAUCUAUCUA
rnacentral:tRNA from 1 species